rnacentral:rRNA from 1 species
UACGUAGGGUGCAAGCGUUGUCCGGAAUUAUUGGGCGUAAAGAGCUCGUAGGCGGUUUGUCGCGUCUGCUGUGAAAACUCGAGGCUCAACCUCGGGCUUGCAGUGGGUACGGGCAGACUAGAGUGCGGUAGGGGUGACUGGAAUUCCUGGUGUAGCGGUGGAAUGCGCAGAUAUCAGGAGGAACACCGAUGGCGAAAGCGG